rnacentral:misc_RNA from 1 species
CAGAGAACAUCGCCCUCACGGGUGAAUCUCCAACCCUAUGUUAUCAUACCUUUGUUGCUUUGGCGAGCCGCUUUGGCCACCGGCUCUCGCUGGUGAGUGCUCGCCAGAGGACCCAAAACUCUUGAAUUUAUUAUCGUCAGAGUACUAUAUAAUAGUUA